GUGGGGAAUCUUGCGCAAUGGGCGAAAGCCUGACGCAGCCAUGCCGCGUGGAUGAUGAAGGUCUUAGGAUUGUAAAAUCCUUUCACCGGUGAAGAUAAUGACUGUAGCCGGAGAAGAAGCCCCGGCUCACUUCGUGCCAGCAGCCGCGGUAAUACGAAGGGGGCUAGCGUUGCUCGGAUUUACUGGGCGUAAAGGGCGCGUAGGCGGACAUUUAAGUCAGGGGUGAAAUCCCGGGGCUCAACCUCGGAACUGCCUUUGAUACUGGGUGUCUUGAGUAUGAGAGAGGUGUGUGGAACUCCGAGUGUAGAGGUGAAAUUCGUAGAUAUUCGGAAGAACACCAGUGGCGAAGGCGACACACUGGCUCAUUACUGACGCUGAGGCGCGAAAGCGUGGGGAGCAAACAGGAUUAGAUACCCGUGUAGUCC
rnacentral:rRNA from 1 species